rnacentral:lncRNA from 1 species
AUGUGUGCGGUAUCCCAGUGGUCACCUGCUCUGGAAGGCGAUAGAUUCCGAAAGAUGUUUCCGGCUGAAACGUGGCUCCCGCUGUUCACAGCGCCGCGCAAAGUGUCUUUGCAGUGUCAAAGUCCUUUUAUCAAGAGAGACUCGCGUGGAACUGCUCAAAGCUGUGAAGAUGGGGGCACCUGAGUGGCUCCGUCGGAGAGAGUCUGACUCUUCAUUUCAGCUCAGAUUGUGAUUUUGGGGUUGUGAGAUCAAGCCCCAUGUCGGGCUCUGUGCUGAGUGUGGAGUCUACUUGAGACUCUCUCUCCCUCUGCCCCUCCCACCCUCACCCCGACCCCUGCUUGU